rnacentral:rRNA from 1 species
CCUACGGGAGGCAGCAGUAAGGAAUUUUCCGCAAUGGGCGAAAGCCUGACGGAGCAAUGCCGCGUGAAGGAUGAAGGCCUAUGGGUUGUAAACUUCUUUUCUUAGAGAAGAAUUUUUGACGGUAUCUAAGGAAUAAGCAUCGGCUAACCCUGUGCCAGCAGCCGCGGUAAU